rnacentral:tRNA from 1 species
GCCGUUCGUGCGCCAGUUCCGAGGGCGGCACGCUUGUCAUGCGGGCGAAGCGGUGCGUGGGUGCGACCACCGCGCACAGCGC